UGCGCAGGCGGUUUUGUAAGACAGAGGUGAAAUCCCCGGGCUCAACCUGGGAACUGCCUUUGUGACUGCAAAGCUGGAGUGCGGCAGAGGGGGAUGGAAUUCCGCGUGUAGCAGUGAAAUGCGUAGAUAUGCGGAGGAACACCGAUGGCGAAGGCAAUCCCCUGGGCCUGCACUGACGCUCAUGCACGAAAGCGUGGGAGCAAACA
rnacentral:rRNA from 1 species